UACAGAGGUCCCAAGCGUUGUUCGGAAUUACUGGGCGUAAAGCGCGCGUAGGCGGCUUUGCAAGUCGGGUGUGAAAUCCCCAGGCUUAACCUGGGAACUGCAUUCGAGACUGCAUUGCUAGAGUAUGGGAGAGGGAAGUGGAAUUUCCGGUGUAGCGGUGAAAUGCGUAGAUAUCGGAAGGAACAUCAGUGGCGAAAGCGACUUCCUGGACCAAUACUGACGCUCAUGUGCGAAAGCGUGGGGAGCAAACAGG
rnacentral:rRNA from 1 species